AUCUAGCUGACGAGUCGUAAACAGGAUGAAACGCACAUCCUGGAU
rfam:Schistosoma rodhaini strain Burundi genome assembly, scaffold: SROB_scaffold0019598